AUGAGAAAAUCAAAGUUUUGCUCGGGUCCAAGCUUGAGGUACAUAUUCCUGCUCAACAAUUCUAAUUUCAUAGCAAAUAUGUUCGAGCCGUCGGUUCCGUUGGAUCUUGAGCUGUGGUCUCUACACCACAGGCUUAAACGUCAAUGUGGGAAGUACAUUGAUAGCUAUCUCGAUAUCUCUUGGGGACACGUGACUUCCUGCAUACCGAAAUCAUACUUUUCUCGGCCGUUGAUCCAUCGUUGGAGCAACACCUCCUUGCUGAUUAAUUUUGAGUUAGCAUUUCAUAAAACUUACCAGACUCAGAAGUUCUGGAAGGUUCCGGAGCCUCGUCUCCGAUGCUUGCUGCGGAAAAAUAUAGCUGAAAGAGUUGUCUCAUGUUACCGCAACUGUUUGGAGGAAAAUCCGGAGCUGGAAAAACAUGUGAAUAGAGGAACCAGUAGUAGUCCCGAAAUUUUGAUGGAGAUGUUAGGAGAGCUCUUUGAAGGAUGA
rnacentral:rRNA from 1 species